rnacentral:ncRNA from 1 species
CGGCGGGGACGACCUCGUGGAGCCGCUCGCGGAGCUUGACGAGGACGGCCUCG